GGAUUGGGUCUGAGUGCAGGCCUGACCUGUCGUUGGAACCUCAGAGCCGAGCCCCGGCAGGUGGGGUCUUUACCGUCCGAGCCUGGGAAGCCCACACUUCACAGGGAGGAUUCAGAGAGCCGAUGCUGCAGCGUCAGAUGCCAUCUGCGGGACCGGGAGGGUCGGCACAGCCGCGGCGGGCUCCGUGUGUCACCAAGGAGGCAGGAGGCGGCACGCAGGAGAAAGACAGGGUCCAGUCCUGGACACGGAUGGGGUUGAGGGGCCCACCCAGGCCCACGGACAAUUGAGCCUCUCUAAGAUGUCACAGGCCCCCCGUUUAGAAGGGAUGGAAGAACAAACCCUACCCACAUCCCCCAUCAGGGGUCAUGUGUAGGGUGGGAUCUGACCUGCCUGGCCCCUCUGCCUGGAACAUGGGACGCUGGGGUGCUGCACUAACUUCCUGAGGUGGGGGAAGCUGUAACAGAGCCACAAGAGGGUGGCUGUGAACGACAGAGGUUUAUCCCCCGCAGCCUGGAGCCCGAAGUCCUAGAUCAAGGCCACACUCCCUCUGGAUCUUCAAGGGGAGGGUCCUUCCUGCCUCUUCCAGCUUCUGCCCCGAACUCCCCCCACAAUCCUUGGCUCAUAGCUGCAUCCCGCUAAACUCUGCCUCAUCUUCACGUGGCUGUCCGUCUGUCUGUGUCCUCUUUUCUUGUAAGGAUGCUAGUCGUCGGCUUCAGGACUCACCCGACCCAGGGACGCCAGCUUAUCCUUGUUUUCAGAUACGGUCAUAUUCUGAGAGUCGGGGGGACGCGGAUGGACCUUGCAGAGCUUCUGGUGGCCGUGUGUUGGUCACGAGAUGUCACAGCCUAGGGGGGCUGCUGGAGUCAGGGCUGGAGUUCGGUGCCUGAUGUGGGUUCCAGCGCCGGCCCCGCCGUUAGGUCGGUGCGUUACUGAGCCCCCUUGGCC
ensembl:lncRNA